rnacentral:rRNA from 1 species
UACGAACUGUGCAAACGUUAUUCGGAAUCACUGGGCUUAAAGGGCGCGUAGGCGGCCUGGUAAGUAGGGGGGUGAAAUCCUGCGGCUUAACCGCAGGGCUGCCUUCUAAACUGUCAGGCUUGAGCACGGUAGAGGCAGAUGGAAUUCCCGGUGUAGCGGUGGAAUGCGUAGAUAUCUGGAGGAACACCAGUGGCGAAGGCGGCUCACUGGCCCGAUACUGACGCUGAGGCACGAAGGCCAGGGGAGCAAACGGG